rnacentral:rRNA from 1 species
GGACCUGACUGCUAUCGGAUUGAUACUAAGCCAUGCGAGUCAUCGUAGCAAUACAAGGCAUACGGCUCAGUAACGCGUAGUCAACCUAACCUAUGGACGGGAAUAACCUCGGGAAACUGAGAAUAAUGCCCGAUAGAACAUUAUGCCUGGAAUGGUUUAUGUUCCAAAUGAUUUAUCGCCGUAGGAUGGGACUGCGGCCUAUCAGUUUGUUGGUGAGGUAAUGGCCCACCAAGACUAUUACAGGUACGGGCUCUGAGAGGAGUAGCCCGGAGAUGGGUACUGAGACACGGACCCAGGCCCUAUGGGGCGCAGCAGGCGAGAAAACUUUGCAAUGUGCGAAAGCACGACAAGGUUAAUCCGAGUGGUUUCUGCUAAAGAAACCUUUUGUCAGUCCUAGAAACACUGAUGAAUAAGGGGUGGGCAAGUUCUGGUGU